AGACCGAUAGCGAACAAGUAGAGUGAUCGAAAGAUGAAAAGCACUUUGAAAAGAGAGUUAAAAAGUACGUGAAAUUGUUGAAAGGGAAGCGUUUAUGACCAGACUUGGGCUUGGAUAAUCAUCUGGGGUUCUCCCCAGUGCACUUUUCCAGUCCAGGCCAGCAUCAGUUUUCGCCGGGGGAUAAAGGCUUCGGGAAUGUGGCUCCCUCCGGGGAGUGUUAUAGCCCGUUGCGUAAUACCCUGGCGGGGACUGAGGUUCGCGCAUCUGCAAGGAUGCUGGCGUAAUGGUCAUCAACGACCCGUCUUGAAACACGGACCAAG
rnacentral:rRNA from 1 species